rnacentral:rRNA from 2 species
CCGGCCGCCAGCGGCGCUCGCAAAGUUCGGAUCCGCAAGGACCGGGCCAGCGGGACGUCCGCGUGGCAGGGUGCACUUUCUCCGCGGUCGAGUGCUACGACCGGUUUCGAGGCGGUCAGAAGCCCGGCGGAAAGGUAGCGCCGCCCUUCGGGGUGUCGUGUUAUAGGCCGCCGCGGUGGACUCGCCGCGAGACCGAGGACGCUUGCCGCGCCGAGCGGUCCCGGGCCGUCUUGGGAGGUUCGACCUCGGCUGCACUGCUCCGCAGAGCACCGUAACCGCCGCCCUAGCACGGGUCCGGAGACUGCCGGCGCCUCGGGUCAGUAGCG